AUACGAAGGAUCCGAGCGUUAUCCGGAUUUAUUGGGUUUAAAGGGUGCGCAGGCGGGAGAUUAAGUCGGCUGUGAAAUUUUGCGGCUCAACUGGAAAAGUGCCUCUCAUACUGGGUUCCUUGAGUGUGGAUGAAGUAGGCGGAAUUUGUGGUGUAGCGGGGAAAUGCUUAGAUAUCACGAGGAACUCCGAUUGCGCAGGCAGCUUACUAAACCACUACUGACGCUCAGGCACGAAGGCGUGGGGAUCAAACAGGAUUAGAUACCCUUGUAGUCCACGCAGUAAACGAUGAUUACUGGCUGUUUGCGAUACAAUGUAAGCGGCUGAGCGAAAGCGUUAAGUAAUCCACCUGGGGAGUACGUUCGCAAGAAUGAAACUCAAAGGAAUUGACGGGG
rnacentral:rRNA from 1 species